GGUGGCUCAGUGGUAGAGUGCUUGCCUCAUAUGCAUGAGGCCAUGGGUUCAAUUCCUCAACACUA
rnacentral:tRNA from 1 species